AUUGAACGCUGGCGGCAGGCCUAACACAUGCAAGUCGAGCGGAGCGGCGGACGGGUGAGUAAUGUCUAGGAAUCUGCCUGGUAGUGGGGGAUAACGUCCGGAAACGGGCGCUAAUACCGCAUACUAUCAGAUGAGCCUAGGUCGGAUUAGCUAGUUGGUGGGGUAAAGGCCUACCAAGGCGACGAUCCGUAACUGGUCUGAGAGGAUGAUCAGUCACACUGGAACUGAGACACGGUCCCGACUCCUACGGGAGGCAGCAGUGGGGAAUAUUGGACAAUGGGCGCAAGCCUGAUGCAGCCAUGCCGCGUGUAUGAAGAAGGCCUUCGGGUUGUAAAGUACUUUCAGCGAGGAGGCGUUACCCGCAGAAGAAGCACCGGCUAACUCCGUGCCAGCAGCCGCGGUAAUUC
rnacentral:rRNA from 1 species